CAUGAGCUGAGCCGAAGUCAGAUGUUCAGCCCCCCAGGCGCCCCGAAGGUGAGGUUUCAAAGUGUGGGCAAAUGGGAGGAGAGCUGUGCCAUGAACAAAAUGAAAGAAUUAGUGGGAGGACUGCUGGGAUGCAGGAUAAUGACCUGUCUGUUUACUACUCAUGGCCACGGGCUGCAAGGCUCAUGUGAUUCAUCAACACACACACACACACACACACACACACACACACACACACACACACUUGGUGAAGUGACAAAUUACAUUUCUCUCUAUGCUUUUGUUCCCAAGGCUCAAUCUGGUUGCAGUUCUGCUUUGAGCAUUUUGUUGAGAUACACAAUUUGCUAAUUUGACUUCCACUGAUGUUCGCCCCUAAGCACAUGGCUCAUGUUGCAGCCAUGUAAUACUCCGUCUCUAGCAUAAAUAUUGUGUUUAGGAAUGUGGUAUGAUAUGCACCAGAUGAUAUAAUUGGACAAAAACUCAAAAUAUCAGAAAAUGACAUUUUCUCUCUGCCUCCUCCAACCACCAACCCUUAUAAAAAACUUGUGGGAUUACAAACGUCAGAGACAGAUAAGGCUAUAUGCUCUCUGGCCAUUAGCAGGAUUGGCUCAUGUAAACAUUCUGACUGGGAAAAAAUAAACUAGUCUAACCACUUCCUCUCCAAUGUCUGUACAGCAAAAAACAAGCUCUAAGGGUCCUAAUGUUUACAAACUUGUAUUGACUUUUGACCUAUUUAAUAUGGAGCAAGCCUAUAUGCCUCUUGAUAUUUAGGAAAUGCCCAAACUAACCUCCUGCUAAGAUCCUGAGGGACCAAGGAGGGUAGAAGCCAGGAGGCACUGAGUACUCUGACCCUGGGUGGACACCUCUCCCAGUGCUGUUCUUGGGGCUAAUGGCCUGUAUGAGGCAAUCAAGGGGAAUAGUGAGGUUGGGUUUAGAAGGGUUUUUGCUAUUAGCCCAUUUACAAAACACGUGACCGUAUCAUUCUAAAAUAUAUCUGCAAAGGCCCUUCAGGUUUGUGACUUAAGAACCACAUGACUGAAGCCUUCAAGUUAAAUCUCAUUAUUAUUGAUAGCAUUAUAUAAGCCAGCAGUCAUCCUAUUUCAGGAAUGCUAAUUUGACUUACUGAAUAACACUCAUUUCAGUUCUCUUUUCCUAGUGGCUCCCACAAAGCUGUCAGUAGGAAUUAGAUGUAAUUUAUUCUGGGUUGUGUAAUGUCAUAAUAAAGUUGGUUGGAUUUUUUUUUUCCUCUGCAGAAACAAUAUCCAGAAAAUGGAAGGACAAUAAAAAAAAAAAAUAGGUUGCUUUCCACCAAAAUAAAAGUGAUACAUUUCCUUUUAUCUCAGUUUAUGCUACAGGAUAAAUGAAGACUUUCUGCUCAGUUAGACUGUAUUCAUUUCACUCCAUGUUUGUUCUAGACCUCAAAACUAAAAUUAGUUGUAAAACUUUCUCUUUCAGCAAAGAUGGACUAACAAAGACCAGAUUUUACCCUCUUGCCUAGAACGAGUAAAAUUCCAGAUGGAGUGUAUGAAACAAUGAUUUUCAGACACUGGGCAUCAGCAAUGCAGCACAGUGAUCCCCGAGGGAGAGGAAACAAGGGAUACUUCAAUGAACAAAUCAAAGCACACUUGGUGGAAGAUCCAAACAAUCCACCACUACAAGCAGUGGAUGAGAGCAGCCAAAGACAACAGAGUGCAUGCAACACACUCCAAAAACACUUACUGAAGUGCCUGGCCCUGGACAGUGUGUGACCCCUUCUUAAGAUAGUAGUACUUGCAGGUGCAGGACAUAAAACAAGCUAUUACAUCAUGUAAAUGACAGAAGCCUAGCCACAAUGAUGAAAUGGAAGAAUUCUCCUC